GUCUAUGGCCAUACCGCCCUGAACGCGCCCGAUCUCUUCUGAUCUCAGAAGCUAAGUAGGGUGGCGCGUGGUUAGUACUUGGAUGGGAGAAAGCAGAAUAGAGCAACCAGGUUUCUGGCU
rnacentral:rRNA from 1 species